rnacentral:rRNA from 1 species
CUUCGGGGGUACACGAGUGGCGAACGGGUGAGUAACACGUGAGUAACCUGCCCUUGACUUCGGAAUAAGCCCGAGAAAUCGGGUCUAAUACCGAAUGACCACCCUCGCGGACAUCUGCGAGGGUGCAAAGCUCCGGCGGUCAAGGAUGGACUCGCGGCCUAUCAGCUAGUUGGUGAGGUAACGGCUCACCAAGGCUUCGACGGGUAGCCGGCCUGAGAGGGCGACCGGCCACACUGGGACUGAGAUACGGCCCAGACUCCUACGGGAGGCAGCAGUGGGGAAUAUUGCACAAUGGGCGAAAGCCUGAUGCAGCAACGCCGCGUGCGGGAUGACGGCCUUCGGGUUGUAAACCGCUUUCAGUACCGACGAAGCGAAAGUGACGGUAGGUGCAGAAGAAGGACCGGCCAACUACGUGCCAGCAGCCGCGGUGAUACGUAGGGUCCGAGCGUUGUCCGGAAUUAUUGGGCGUAAAGGGCUUGUAGGCGGUCUGCCGCGUCGGGAGUGAAAACUCAGGGCUUAACUCUGAGCGUGCUUCCGAUACGGGCUGACUAGAGGAAUGCAGGGGAGAAUGGAAUACCUGGUGGAGCGGUGGAAUGCGCAGAUAUCAGGUGGAACACCAGUGGCGAAGGCGGUUCUCUGGGCAUUUCCUGACGCUGAGAAGCGAAAGCGUGGGGAGCAAACAGGCUUAGAUACCCUGGUAGUCCACGCC